rnacentral:RNase_P_RNA from 1 species
CAAGGCAAACUAGGCAAUCGCUCAAAUUGAUUCAAUUCUAUGAGAGAGGAAAGUCCGGACUCCUAAUGAAUACAGUACCUUAUAAGUAUUUUCUCCAGAAAUGGUGGACAUAACAAGUAAGGGAGGCGUAAGCUUAUGGAUAGUGCCACAGAAAAUAACCGCUACCCCUUCGGGGGAAGUAAGGGUGAAAACGUGCGGUAAGAGCGCACGAUGCGUUGUAGCAAUGUUACGCAGGGGCAAACCCUACUGGGAGCAAGACAAAAUAGGCACGUUCAGUAGUUCAUUCUGGCCUAUUCUCUGUAAGGAGAAUAAAAAACGUGCGGGUAUGUCGCUUAGAUAAAUGAUUGUUAUUUUUAAGCUUUAUCGCUUAAAAAACAGAAUCCGGCUUAUUGUUCGCCUUGAGAA